GGCCGACUAGCUCAGCUGGUUAGAGCGUCGUGCUAAUAAUACCUAAAUGGUUUACGCGAAGGUCUUGGGUUCGAUCCCCACGUUGGCCA